AGCGGUUAGCCCGGUGUUCGUUGCUUGUUGCCGCUGCUGCCAGAAAUGACGUGUUCGGCGCUCGGGCUGCCCUUUUAUCGCCUAGACAAGGCACUGCACCCGGAUGACGCUGGAGGUUGAUUUGCGGGGGCGGGACUGUGCUCGUGGCCUCCAGCAGUGCAGACUGUGAUGCAGAUGGGCCAGCAGCCUGACUUGCGUCGCAGUUGGAACCGCAGCGUUGGGUACGUCGAUGCUCACUGCAAUGGCAGAGGAGCGGUUAGCCCGGUGUUCGUUGCUUGUUGCCGCUGCUGCCAGAAAUGACGUGUUCGGCGCUCGGGCUGCCCUUUUAUCGCCUAGACAAGGCACUGCACCCGGAUGACGCUGGAGGUUGAUUUGCGGGGGCGGGACUGUGCUCGUGGCCUCCAGCAGUGCAGACUGUGAUGCAGAUGGGCCAGCAGCCUGACUUGCGUCGCAGUUGGAACCGCAGCGUUGGACAAGGCACUGCACCCGGAUGACGCUGGAGGUUGAUUUGCGGGGGCGGGACUGUGCUCGUGGCCUCCAGCAGUGCAGACUGUGAUGCAGAUGGGCCAGCAGCCUGACUUGCGUCGCAGUUGGAACCGCAGCGUUGGACAAGGCACUGCACCCGGAUGACGCUGGAGGUUGAUUUGCGGGGGCGGGACUGUGCUCGUGGCCUCCAGCAGUGCAGACUGUGAUGCAGA